rnacentral:tRNA from 1 species
GAGCCAUUAGCUCAGUUGGUAGAGCAUCUGACUUUUAAUCAGAGGGUCGANNGUUCGAGCCUGUCACGGCUCA